ACCCUUCUUCUCCCUUGCCUCCUCGGGGAGAAUCCCGGGCUUCUCUGCCGCUCGCUAGCAGACGAUGCUCUCGCUUCCCCAAAAUGUUUGGCUUUCAGCUCCCGUGGCGGUAGUCCGAUCAUUCGAGACGCGUUACCUGAGUACGUAAAAAAGGAUCCCGCCUAAUGUCUGGAAUAAUCCGAGUGAUCUCCGGACAGCAGCACAAUGUCAUAAUUUUCCAUCAGAGUUUUGCCAUCAGGGUAAGAAAAAGUGUAGAGGAAGAAACAAGAGCAUCACCUCUUUUACCUCAAAUCGAACCAAAGAAAAUAGAAUAGCAGGAUCAUAGAAAGAGGAAGGUGAAAUGCUCUUGAUUUGAGUGAUGGAUUUAUUCUUGAUCUUGCGGAAACUAAAGCUGUAUUAGACAUGUAUCUUGGAAUACAAAACAGUGGAAUUCUGUGAACUCGGAACAAUGAUGAAUAAGAUUUCCAUGGCAAGAACAGCGAAUGGAAAAAAGAGCUACAUGGAUAUUGUUCUUCUCGAUUGUAAUGGGAAAGGAACUUUUCAAACAAUUUGAGAUGUGUGUGUUUUUUUUUGUCUUAAAAGAGGAGGCAGACUUUUUCACAGAGAACCAACUUAACUUUUUUUUAAAGGAGAAUUUUAUUGAAAUAAGCCUAAAACAUGUUCCUACUUCAAGCCAGUUGAUCCUGUCUUCUUGCUGCGAAGUCAAGGUGCAUAGUAUCUAAAUCACCAAUCUUAUUUGGGCAACUGAAGCAAAGUGAAAUGCCCAAGCAACUCUCUCCAUUCCUUGCUGUCAGAAGUAACAGACAGUGGGAAGGGGGGGGGGGGGAGAUAGUGGAUAUGGGAAUUUUAAAAGUGUUAUAAUUCCAUUAUGAAAUUCUCUCAACAAGCCAGCAUCCAGGGUUCUAUGAAAACAGGCAAGUUUUGUUAUCUGAAGCACUUUAACAUUCCUUUAUAUCAUUCUAUUUAAAGACAGAUUGUCUCUCAGAAAAAAUAAUUGACAAUAAUUGAUUAAAGGCAGACUGCUGUUCACUUUUGCAGGUAAUCACUAAAUCUGGCAAAGAGAUGACUAAUAUGAGGUUAAGAUAUAAUUGCUUAAUUUUAUAUUGGAAAUUUAAAUCCUACACAUUAGAGACAAUUUAUUAUAAAAUACCCCAAAAUGUGCUAUGAUGUUCUGAUCUAUCUCUCUGCUAGUAGGUUUAUUCACCUUUGUGAAAUUAACUCUCUCCUUGCUUUUUAGCUAUAUAAUUUUAGUUUUGGUGGAUUAAUAUGCUAAGCAGCUCAAUUUCAAAUUUUCCUCAUUGGCAUCUGACUUCAGAGGGUAUAAUCAUACAUGUACUCAAUUAAACAGAACUGGAACAAAUACA